rnacentral:rRNA from 1 species
AUUGAACGCUGGCGGCAUGCCUUACACAUGCAAGUCGAACGGCAGCACGGGAGCAAUCCUGGUGGCGAGUGGCGAACGGGUGAGUAAUGUAUCGGAACGUGCCCAGUCGUGGGGGAUAACGCAGCGAAAGCUGUGCUAAUACCGCAUACGAUCUAAGGAUGAAAGCGGGGGAUCGCAAGACCUCGCGCGAUUGGAGUGGCCGAUAUCAGAUUAGCUAGUUGGUGGGGUAAAGGCUCACCAAGGCGACGAUCUGUAGCUGGUCUGAGAGGACGACCAGCCACACUGGAACUGAGACACGGUCCAGACUCCUACGGGAGGCAGCAGUGGGGAAUUUUGGACAAUGGGCGCAAGCCUGAUCCAGCAAUGCCGCGUGCAGGAUGAAGGCCUUCGGGUUGUAAACUGCUUUUGUACGGAGCGAAAAGGUUCUCUCUAAUACAGGGGGCUCAUGACGGUACCGUAAGAAUAAGCACCGGCUAACUACGUGCCAGCAGCCGCAGUAA